UGCAGACAUUACGGUGCAUAAGUGUAUAAUCUGCAGCGAGAGCGAACGGUGUUGCUGGUUAUCGCGCGGUGCCCUUCGUGUUUUUUCGCGCAAAGAGACGACGCGAGAGUGUGCGCGCGUUUUUUUUCUCCAUUGCGGAACCGAUCGCCGUCCUUCCGCCAAAGUUCCAGCCAAACUUUGGCCGCGAAGAAGAUAACCUAAUUACCCGUGAUCGAUCCACCGCGACUAUCUUUCUCUCGCAGCGGUCGUCGCGGCCGCUCGAGCGUAUCGACGCUUGUGAUAAUUUCGACAAAUUUUCCGCCUCUCCCAAGCAGCAACUCUGUGUUAGCUCCACAAGACGCGAGUUAUCGCGCAACGAUCGUUCACGAUCGGGUUGACGAACGCGCGCAUGCGCGUGUGUGUGUGUGUGUGUGUGUGUGUACGUAUCCCGAGCCGUGGAGUGGAAUGCGCCGCGGCGGCGGCCGAGAGGUAACGACGACGACGACGACGACGUCGUGAAGACCGCCCGGGAUCGUUCUCCUCGCGACUGCGGCACAAGUGCGGCAGGCCAGUCAAUACUAUGCGCCACGACGGAUCGAGACACAUAAAUGCGCCCGGAAUUGGAACGCGGUUCAGCACGUGAAGUACCAAGGCCGGUCUGGCAUCAAUACAUAGUAUAUUGCACAUUUAUUUUCUAUUUAUUUUGAGACUGCUUAGAGCGAGAAAGCGAGAGAAAGCGAGAAAGAGAGAGAGGGAGAGAAAGAUGAGAGCACUCGAGGGCGCAGGCUGGCCUACGAGCGUGGCGGCGUUGUCAUACGGGGAAGACCUAGUAAUGAUUUUGUUUAUAUUUUUUGUAUUUGCCGAUGAUCCUCCCGUCGAUGGUUGUUUCGCUGGACGGUACCAGUUGGAGUGUACAACAGCAACAACCGCAACACCAGCUGCUUGUCGUGGACUCGGCCGCUCAGCAGCAGCAGCAGCAGCAGCAACAACAACGCCAGCAGCAACCGCGAAAUCAGAUUGCCGCGUCGAAUCAGGCGUCAUCUUUGUCGGAAGGUGAUUUGCAACAACCGCAGUGUCGCAAGAUGACUGACCAGCGAGAGCAGCAGCAGCAGCAGCAGCAGCAGCAGCAGCAGCAACAGCAGCAGCAACAGCAGCACCAGCAGCCGCAGACUCAAUUUCAGCAGCAACAACAGCAGCAACAGCAGGUCAAAAGUAAUGACGAGGCAAAAACGAACUUGAUCAUUAAUUACCUCCCACAAAAUAUGAACGAGAAAGAACUGUACAGUUUAUUCGUUACGAUUGGUCCGGUUGAAUCCUGUCGAGUCAUGAAGGAUUACAAGACUGGUUACAGCUACGGUUUUGGUUUUGUCAACUACGCGAAAGCUGAGGACGCGGCGACGGCGAUAAACACGUUGAAUGGUCUUCAGGUGCAAAAUAAACGUCUGAAAGUUUCGUUUGCUCGGCCUUCCGGGGAAGAAAUUAAGGAAACGAAUCUUUACGUUACAAAUUUACCAAGAAAUAUAACGGAAAGCCAAAUCGACGAACUUUUUAGUAAAUUUGGCAACAUCGUGCAAAAGAAUAUACUGAGGGAUAAACUAACCGGUUUACCGAGAGGAGUAGCGUUUGUUAGAUUCGAUAAGAGAGAGGAAGCCCAGGAGGCGAUCGCGCAACUUCACGGUACAAUACCGGAGGGUGGAUCAGAGCCUCUUAGCGUAAAAAUCGCGGAAGAACACGGAAAGCAAAAGGCGGCAUAUUACGCGGGCUGGCAGGCGGGAUACAAUCAAAGCCGCGUUAACAUCGUUCGAGACCAUCACAACGUAAUUUGCGGAGACACACGUUUGGAGGAACGAGUUGUGAGCGAUGGAAGGCGCACUUCUAGACUGAUAAUUUCCAAGUUUGACCGGGGAACUUUAUAACGCAAACGAUUCCACCCACAGGAUGCUGCGGCCUAGAGAUUAGCCGGCAAGCUCGUGAAAAGGAAACAGGAAAGGGGCGGUUAGAGACCAAGAUAUGGAGAUAUCGGAACGGAAUAUCUCACCGAUCGGUUUUCAACGGUCGCAGCAUGGAUUCAUCCGAUUCGUUAUCCAACCUUUGACUUACACCAGUAUGUUUUUUGUAUGCUCUUUCCAACUGUCGGUGUUCCCAUUGAACGAGCCGGAGUUCUCCCCAGGAAUCGCAGCGAGAGAUUUUAUAUGAAUUGCACGCAUCUGUCCCACGUAUGUUUCAAAAAUUUCUAAUUCUGCCACAAGAAACGCAGGAAUAACGAUAAGCCGACCAGAAACCUCUUCCCGAGUCUUCCGAUAAAAGAAAUCUUUACCGCACAGAGUUGAACAUUACAUUUCAAUUCUUACACACUUUGUGAAAAUAAAAGAAGAAUUGGAAUCAGAAGAUAAGUUAUUAUUCACUAUAUAUAAAGUACGAAUAAUUAGUUUUGUUUCGAGGAAAGUGUGACGUGAUAUACAAAAGGGUUUCGCAUUUUAUUUCUCAGAAAUGUGACAUAAUGUUCAAGCGCAAAGAUAAUGCGACGGAGCAAUGCGAUGAAUAAUAUUCUGGGAAAAAAAUCGGACGAAUUGAAAUUAAUCGUAGUCUUGAUUAAAAUUAAGAUCAAGUUUCUAGAACGCACGUUGUGUGUCGAAACUCUUCAUUGCAUCGAAUAUAACAUUAUAAUUUUUGAUCAGAGUGAUAAGGGUCAGAGAGACACAAAGAAGGAAAGAGAGAGAGAGAACCGCGGUCGGAGUACAUUGUUGGAAUGACUCAUCACCCGCGCAUUUUAGUUUAUUUUACUCGCGGCGGAAUCAACACAAGUCCCGAUGACACGAUGCGAUUUUAAGGUCACAUUUUAUUUAACGCUCCCGUUUACGCAACCGUCGCCCGAUAAAGCGUGUACUCCCCCGAUUUGUAAUUCAUUCACGCGUGGCGAUCGUGCCCGCUAUUCUUUUGGUCCCGAAAAAAUUCCUCCUUUUUUCUUCUUUUUUCCAGCAUACGUAGAUUCCAGAGUUCCACUUAGUAUUUAGAUACGCGGUACAAGUACAUUCUGGAAAUCACACGAAGGAAGAUAUCACAGAUGUAAAAACGAACGCUAUAGUGUCGUGACGAAACUGGAAAAAAAAUUGUCUCGAUGUUUAUAAUAUCAUAUAUGUUUAUAAUAUCAAUAAACACUUUUCGUCAAGGAUUUUGCAUGGUAUGAACGUUGCUCGUAUGUACGCGGCACCCAAUGCGCGAAGCGCGUGCGUCCCGCGGGAGGAAGAUACUCGUUUCCGCCCGAUGCGAUACCGAUGGAUACUUGCGGGAAAUGCGCUCUUUUUUUGUUCCCUUCCCAACAAUGAUAAGUAACACGUUGCAUAUAUCGCGAAAUUUUUUUUCGCGCUGACGUGCGGUCGUCACACAACCGUCGUACGCGGCAUCCCGAGGACGACUGAUUACGAGCGGAAAGCGGAAUCCGCACGAGCGGAGCGCG
rnacentral:misc_RNA from 1 species